UGGGGAAUUUUGGACAAUGGGCGCAAGCCUGAUCCAGCCAUGCCGCGUGCGGGAAGAAGGCCUUCGGGUUAUAAACCGCUUUUGUCAGGGAAGAAAUCUUCUGAGUUAAUACCUCGGGAGGAUGACGGUACCUGAAGAAUAAGCACCGGCUAACUACGUGCCAGCAGCCGCGGUAAUACGUAGGGUGCAAGCGUUAAUCGGAAUUACUGGGCGUAAAGCGUGCGCAGGCGGUUUUGUAAGACAGAGGUGAAAUCCCCGGGCUCAACCUGGGAACUGCCUUUGUGACUGCAAGGCCUGAGUGCGGCAGAGGGGGGAUGGAAUUCCGCGUGUAGCAGUGAAAUGCGUAGAUAUGCGGAGGAACACCGAUGGCGAAGGCAAUCCCCUGGGCCUGCACUGACGCUCAUGCACGAAAGCGUAGGGAGCAAACAGGAUUAGAUACCCUGGUAGUCCACGCCCUAAACGAUGUCAACUGGUUGUUGGGAAGGUUCCUUCUCGGUAACGUAGCUAACGCGUGAAGUUGA
rnacentral:rRNA from 1 species